AAGCCCAGAAGAGAAUACAAAGGGCCCUAUCUUACGCCAGACUCCCUAAACCCGUUAUUUGCGGAUUUAGGAUUUAGGAAGAGGC